GGGCGAUUAGCUCAGGUGGUAGAGCAGCUGACUCUUAAUCAGCGGGUCAUAGGUUCGAGUCCUAUAUCGCCCACCA
rnacentral:tRNA from 1 species